rnacentral:rRNA from 1 species
UACAGAGGUCCCAAGCGUUGUUCGGAUUCACUGGGCGUAAAGGGUGCGUAGGCGGCAUUGCAAGUCGGAUGUGAAAUCCCUCGGCUUAACCAAGGAAGUGCAUCCGAAACUGCAGUGCUUGAGUACUUAAGAGGAUCGCGGAAUUCCCGGUGUAGAGGUGAAAUUCGUAGAUAUCGGGAGGAACACCAGUGGCGAAGGCGGCGAUCUGGGAAGAUACUGACGCUGAGGUGCGAAAGCGUGGGGAGCAAACAGG